GACGAACGCUGGCGGCGUGCCUAAUACAUGCAAGUAGAACGCUGAAGGAGGAGCUUGCUCUUCUGGAUGAGUUGCGAACGGGUGAGUAACGCGUAGGUAACCUGCCUGGUAGCGGGGGAUAACUAUUGGAAACGAUAGCUAAUACCGCAUAAGAGUAGAUGUUGCAUGACAUUUGCUUAAAAGGUGCAAUUGCAUCACUACCAGAUGGACCUGCGUUGUAUUAGCUAGUUGGUGGGGUAACGGCUCACCAAGGCGACGAUACAUAGCCGACCUGGGAGGGUGAUCGGCCACACUGGGACUGAGACACGGCCCAGACGCCUACGGGAGGCAGCAGUAGGGAAUCUUCGGCAAUGGACGGAAGUCUGACCGAGCAACGCCGCGUGAGUGAAGAAGGUUUUCGGAUCGUAAAGCUCUGUUGUAAGAGAAGAACGAGUGUGAGAGUGGAAAGUUCACACUGUGACGGUAUCUUACCAGAAAGGGACGGCUAACUACGUG
rnacentral:rRNA from 1 species